UACGGAGGGGGUUAGCGUUGUUCGGAAUUACUGGGCGUAAAGCGCGCGUAGGCGGCUUUGUAAGUUAGAGGUGAAAGCCCGGAGCUCAACUCCGGAAUUGCCUUUAAGACUGCAUCGCUAGAAUCAUGGAGAGGUGAGUGGAAUUCCGAGUGUAGAGGUGAAAUUCGUAGAUAUUCGGAAGAACACCAGUGGCGAAGGCGACUCACUGGACAUGUAUUGACGCUGAGGUGCGAAAGCGUGGGGAGCAAACAGG
rnacentral:rRNA from 1 species